rnacentral:rRNA from 1 species
AUUUGUUGGUAAGGUAACGGCUUACCAAGACUACGAUGGUUAGGGGCCCUGANAGGGGGAUCCCCCACACUGGUACUGAGACACGGACCAGACUCCUACGGGAGGCAGCAGUGAGGAAUAUUGGACAAUGGAGGAGACUCUGAUCCAGCCAUGCCGCGUGCAGGAAGACGGUCCUAUGGAUUGUAAACUGCUUUUAUACAGGAAGAAUAAGGACUACGUGUAGUCUGGUGACGGUACUGUAAGAAUAAGGACCGGCUAACUCCGUGCCAGCAGCCGCGGUAAUACGGAGGGUCCGAGCGUUAUCCGGAAUUAUUGGGUUUAAAGGGUCCGUAGGCGGGCCAUUAAGUCAGGGGUGAAAGUUUGCAGCUCAACUGUAGAAUUGCCUUUGAUACUGAUGGUCUUGAAUUAUUGUGAAGUGGUUAGAAUAUGUAGUGUAGCGGUGAAAUGCAUAGAUAUUACAUAGAAUACCGAUUGCGAAGGCAGAUCACUAACAAUACAUUGACGCUGAUGGACGAAAGCGUGGGUAGCGAACAGGAUUAGAUACCCUGGUAGUCCACGCCGUAAACGAUGGAUACUAGCUGUGUGGUUUUCGGACUGCGCGGCCAAGCGAAAGUGAUAAGUAUCCCACCUGGGGAGUACGUUCGCAAGAAUGAAACUCAAAGGAAUUGACGGGGGCCCGCACAAGCGGUGGAGCAUGUGGUUUAAUUCGAUGAUACGCGAGGAACCUUACCAGGGCUUAAAUGUAGAUUGACAGGUUUAGAGAUAGACUUUCCUUCGGGCAAUUUACAAGGUGCUGCAUGGUUGUCGUCAGCUCGUGCCGUGAGGUGUCAGGUUAAGUCCUAUAACGAGCGCAACCCCUGUUGUUAGUUACCAGCACAUUAUGGUGGGGACUCUAGCAAGACUGCCGGUGCAAACCGUGAGGAAGGUGGGGAUGACGUCAAAUCAUCACGGCCCUUACGUCCUGGGCCACACACGUGCUACAAUGGUAGGUACAGAGAGCAGCCACUUAGCGAUAAGGAGCGAAUCUAUAAAACCUAUCACAGUUCGGAUCGGAGUCUGCAACUCGACUCCGUGAAGCUGGAAUCGCUAGUAAUCGGAUAUCAGCCAUGAUCCGGUGAAUACGUUCCCGGGCCUUGUACACACCGCCCGUCAAGCCAUGGAAGCUGGGGGUACCUGAAGUUCGUCACCGUAAGGAGCGACCCUAGGAA